UAGUAUAAUUCUGUGUUCUAGUUUGUGAACAGUUCCAGUUAAUAUCAGAGCAGAGCUGUAUUCCAGUCAGUCAAUCAAACUCAGUAUUUGAAGAUCAAAAACCCUGUUAUUAAGUUAUUAAAGAUCAAAAACUCUGCAUUUAUAGAUCACCAACUCUGCAUUUACAGAUCAAAAUACUCCGUAUUUACGGAUCAAAAACUCUGCAUUUACAGAUCAAAAUACUCCGUAUUUACAGAUCACCAACUCUGCAUUUACAGAUCAAAAUACUCUGUAUUUACGGAUCAAAAACUCUGCAUUUACAGAUCAAAAACUCUGCAUUCACAGAUCAAAAACUCCGUAUCUACGGAUCAAAAACCCUGCAGUUACAGAUCAAAAUACUCCGUAUUUACGGAUCAAAAACUCUGCAUUUACAGAUCAAAAACUCUGCAUUUACAGAUCAAAAACUCCAUAUUUAUGGAUCAAAAACUCCGUAUUUACGGAUCAAAAACCCUGUAUUUACGGAUCAAAAACCCUGUAUUUACGGAUCAAAACUCUGUUACUAAAGAUCAAAAACUCUGUUAUUAAAGAUCAAUACUCUGUGAUUAAAGAUCAAGAACUCGUUUAUUAGAGAUCAAAAACUCUGUAUUUAUAGAUCAAAAACUCUUCUAAAACUCCGGAUUUACAGAUCAAAACAAAAGUGAAAAAUUUUCAGCUGUGACAAAGAUAUGAUAUCGUGCUUUAAAAAACACAAACUUACAAUAUCUAAUAUCUAAUUAGUUUAUAAGUUGAAUUUCUCCAAGAACUGAACAGAUCAUAUGCUUUUAAGUGUUAGACAAUAGACAUGCUAGCAGAUAUGCUAGUGAUUCUCCUGUUCCUAGUCCUUGUUAUAUUCAUAUCAAUAAUCUGGAUUAUCAGAUUGGCAAGGAAAGCAAGAACGCACACAAAAGAACUACAG